GCCCUUGGGUGCACACAUUGCAUGUGUAUAUCUAUGCGUACGUGUCCAAUACCAUUUCCUGGAAGACCACAGCUAUGCCAUGAAGAAUGAGUGACUCACUGCCCCACAGAAGCCCUCGCCAUCUCACAGGCCUGUCUGGAGCUGCCCAGAGCCCAGGCCUCAUGGUGAAGGAUGCUCAGCUCACUGCGAGCCGGCGCCCCGGCCCCCGCCCUCAACCAUCUGUUUGGCUUUUGGCCCCUGAGAAGAGAAACCUGCUAACUCUCCAGGACUGACUGCCAGGCGGGAGGAAAAGCAGACUCAUUUGCUUCGAUCCCAAGGAGAGAAUGAAGACCAGAAAAGAGAGCUCAAAAAGAAGUAUAACUGGAAACAACCAAAAAGAAGAAAAACAAGACAGAAACCUUCCCUGUGAGUUCAGAGGCUGCUCUAACGCCCUAUGCUGUCUGUCCCCAGGUCCUGAGGCUCUGGAAGCUCAGGUUGCCCCCAGAAUGGACAAGAUGGCUGAGCUAAAAUGUUCCCUCAACAAAACAUUUAAGUUGGGCCUUCCCUGGUGGCGCAGUGGUUAAGAAUCUGCCUGCCAGUGCAGGGGACACAGGUUGAAGCCCUGGUCCGGGAAGAUCCCACAUGCCGCAGAGCAACUAAGCCCGUGCGCCACAACUACUGAACCUGUGCCCUAGAGCCUGCAAGCCACAACUACUGAAGCCCACGUGCCACAACUACUGAAGCCCACACACCUAGAGCCCGUGCUCUGCAACAAGAGAAGCCACCGCAAUGAGAAGCCUGCACACCGCAACGAAGAGUAGCCCCCUCUCACCACAACUAAAGAAUGCCCACGUGCAGCAACGAAGACCCAAUGCAGCCAAAAAUGCAGAAACUGAGGCCCAGGGACUCAGCUGACAAGUGGGAGAACCAGCUGCAAACCUGGGCUGCCUGACUGCACCAG